rnacentral:lncRNA from 1 species
CUUCAACAUAUUGCCAGCAAUACCCUGACGACGUGCUGCUUUCAAUACACAUAGGUUUGAAAUGUAUGCAUAUUUGUUUGGUAUCUCUUUGUUGAUGCUGCAUACAUGACUCUUCUCUCUUUCCUGCGUAUCAAAAUUGGUUCCUUCCCGCAGUUAGCCAAAGGGAAGAAGGGGGAAAGGUGAGAACUAAGUAGAUAAUAGUAACAUAAAUUCGGGUUCGACCCCUGGAAAAGUCUCGCCAUGCAUCAAAUGCCUCAAGCACAGAUCAAGAGUUGCUACUACACUUUUAAUCACUGUACGUUUUAUAUGCUUCUGCUCCUUCCUUACCUGAGAAAGUUGAGAACAGGACUUUAAAGCCAAUUCCACCAGCAUAAUCAUAAAAAGUUCACGGUUUCAAAAGGAUAUUUUCACACCGUAACGAUGCAUGUACAUGUCUGUCCAUAUUGCCCACCACAUCUCUUUUUUAUAGCAUUGAACUCCUGCAAACAUUCAAUGGAUACAUAUAUAGAACGUAAGGGUAUGAAUCAAUUCAUCUUCAACUCGCAUUCUACCACCAAAGUAAAACAAAUCUACCCAUUCUUCCUACCUGUUCUGCAAAUUUCCUUUUGAAGCUAUCAACAUAUCUGUGUUAAAGCAAAGCUACAAUCAGUUGUAUCCAUUAUCCAAUCCAUCAUCAACUCUCUCACUUCUUUCCCUAGAAUUCCCAUUGUUCUAUACAUAACUAUCUUAUAAGCUGAAGCUGUGAACUUUCAAACAAUACCUACUUUCUUUUCUUUUCUCUUUAACGUUUCUUGAAAUAUUGAGUAUUACAACCUUAUCCUUUACAGCUAUUGGUUUCUUCUGCUAACAGAGAAAAAAAAAAAGGAGUGGCUAUGUUCUUGAGAAGAUAAGGUUUCUUUACCGGUCAUUUUGUCUAUUUUCCCAAUGACUUUCAGCUCGAAGCCAUGCCGCUGUCUACAACAAACAAACAUCGCCACUCAUUCUUAUGGUCCAAAGAUAAUUCUUUUGAGAUACUGAGAUUAAAGAUUUCUUCCAAUGUAUAAAAGAUCAAAUCACUUACCCACAAUUCUUCGUCAAUCACAGCCUCCCUUGCUACGAAUUGACCAAACUCUAAUUUUCUCAGGUGAAUUAAAUCUUCAUCGUCCGGUGGCGGCCGGUCGAACUGUAACCCGCUCCACGCCAAUGGUUUCAACUUUGGCAGCAAUAGUGGCGUUGAAAUCUGAAUAGAAACUUCUUCCUUCUUCAUCGUUUGAUGUGAU